UGCGGCCAUGUUCGAGCCCAACUCUCCCGUCUCGACGUGGCACCGGCUGUAGUGAGAGAGAGAGAGAGAAAAAAAAAAAGAAAAAAAGAAAAAAAAAAAAAAGGACCUUUUGGAACGAGACCAAAGUCAGAGGCAGAGAGUGGGUAGUUUUGGCGUAUGUUGAAGCCCUGAAAAUGCCUGGAAUUGCCAAACUGAGCUUUUGUAUUAGCAGCGUAAGGCUACUCGGUGCAUGCAGAGCCGCGGGGCUGCAGGGUAUAGCCGGACGGAAAGUGAUUCUGCAUUUCCUUCGGUAGCCUGGAUGUCUUGGAGUUAGUAGUCACGUCUCUUCGUUCACGGCCGAUGGGAGGAACAGAUCUUUGUCCAGUGGCACGAUGUGGGGGGUGAUCGGGCUCUGGUAAGGCAUCGGUGUUGGGGUGAUCAUCCCACCUUUCCUUGAGGGGCUGCCCGGACAUCUGGAAAGACGCAGAGACUUUCCGAGAGGAGUCGGGAAGGAGAGCAGAAAGAGGGGAAAUCGCUUUUCUUGCACAGAAAGGAGCCGCGGAGCAGCCGAUGCCGGGACGAUGAUCAUCUCAUUGCCGCAGACUGCCAUGGUCCCAAGCUG